GUGGGGAAUCUUGCGCAAUGGGCGAAAGCCUGACGCAGCCAUGCCGCGUGAAUGAUGAAGGUCUUAGGAUUGUAAAAUUCUUUCACCGGGGACGAUAAUGACGGUACCCGGAGAAGAAGCUCCGGCUAACUUCGUGCCAGCAGCCGCGGUAAUACGAAGGGGGCUAGCGUUGCUCGGAAUUACUGGGCGUAAAGGGCGCGUAGGCGGACAGCGUAGUCAGAGGUGAAAGCCCAGGGCUCAACCUUGGAAUUGCCUUUGAUACUGGCUGUCUUGAGUUUGGGAGAGGUGAGUGGAACUCCGGGUGUAGAGGUGAAAUUCGUAGAUAUUCGGAAGAACACCAGUGGCGAAGGCGACUCACUGGCCCAAUACUGACGCUGAGGCGCGAAAGCGUGGGGAGCAAACAGGAUUAGAUACCCUAGUAGUCC
rnacentral:rRNA from 1 species